rnacentral:rRNA from 1 species
UACGUAGGGUGCGAGCGUUAAUCGGAAUUACUGGGCGUAAAGCGUGCGCAGGCGGUGAUGUAAGACAGGCGUGAAAUCCCCGGGCUUAACCUGGGAACUGCAUUUGAUACUGUGGUGCUCGAGUACUGGAGAGGAGAUUGGAAUUUACGGUGUAGCAGUGAAAUGCGUAGAUAUCGUAAGGAAGACCAGUGGCGAAGGCGAAUCUCUGGACAGUUACUGACACUGAGGCUCGAAGGCCAGGGGAGCAAACGGG